CGCGGGGUAGAGUAAUAGUAAUUCGUAAGGCUCAUAACCUUGAGAUGCCGGUGCAAUUCCGGCCCCCGCAACAA
rnacentral:tRNA from 4 species